rnacentral:rRNA from 1 species
UACAGAGGUCUCAAGCGUUGUUCGGAUUCAUUGGGCGUAAAGGGUGCGUAGGUGGCGCGCUAAGUCAGGUGUGAAAUUUCGGAGCUUAACUCCGAAACUGCAUUUGAUACUGGCGUGCUUGAGGACUGGAGAGGAGACUGGAAUUCACGGUGUAGCAGUGAAAUGCGUAGAGAUCAUGAGGAAGACCAGUGGCGAAGGCGGGUCUCUGGACAGUUCCUGACACUGAGACACGAAGGCCAGGGGAGCAAACGGG